rnacentral:rRNA from 1 species
GAACGCUGGCGGAAUGCUUUACACAUGCAAGUCGAACGGCAGCACGGAGAGCUUGCUCUCUGGUGGCGAGUGGCGAACGGGUGAGUAAUAUAUCGGAACGUGUCCAAUAAUGGGGGAUAACGAGUCGAAAGAUUCGCUAAUACCGCAUACGCCCUACGGGGGAAAGCAGGGGAUCGUAAGACCUUGCGUUAAUGGAGCGGCCGAUAUCUGAUUAGCUUGUUGGUGAGGUAAAGGCUCACCAAGGCGACGAUCAGUAGCUGGUUUGAGAGAACGACCAGCCACACUGGAACUGAGACACGGUCCAGACUCCUACGGGAGGCAGCAGUGGGGAAUUUUGGACAAUGGGGGCAACCCCGAUCCAGCCAUUCCGCGUGAGUGAAGAAGGC